rnacentral:pre_miRNA from 1 species
CAGUGACAAGGACCACGCUGGAGAAGCAGGGCACGUGCAUGCGCAUACCAUAUAGCUAGACGAUGUUCUCUCUCGCUCCGCUCGACCAAGCUUCAUGUAUGGAUGGGUACGCACGCACGUGUUCUCCUUCUCCAUCGAGGUCUUUCUCACUU